GAGGGCGUCCGCAAGGAGCUCUCACCACGAGAUGAGUCCGCGUCCCAUCAGCUAGUUGGCGGUGUAAUGGACCACCAAGGCUUAGACGGGUAGCUGGUCUGAGAGGAUGACCAGCCACACUGGGACUGAGACACGGCCCCAGACUCCUACGGGAGGCAGCAGUGGGGAAUAUUGGACAAUGGGCGAAAGCCUGAUCCAGCCAUGCCGCGUGAGUGAUGAAGGCCUUCGGGUCGUAAAGCUCUGUGGGGAGGGCGAAAAAGCGUGACCUAAUACGUCUCGCCUUGACGGUACCUCCUUAGCAAGCACCGGCUAACUCCGUGCCAGCAGCCGCGGUAAUACGGAGGGUGCAAACGUUGCUCGGAAUUAUUGGGCGUAAAGCGCACGUAGGCGGUCCGCUAAGUCGGAUGUGAAAGCCCUCGGCUUAACCGAGGAAGUGCAUCCGAAACUGACGGGGCUAGAGUACGGAAGAGGGUUUCGGAAUUCCCGGUGUAGAGGUGAAAUUCGUAGAUAUCGGGAG
rnacentral:rRNA from 1 species